AAGGACUGAAGGGUUGAAGGACGAGGAUUGAAGCCAGGGUGGCUUUCCAUGGAAGCUGCCAGGUGAUGGAAUUCACCAUGGCCCUAAGCAGUUCCAUCAGGACAUCAAGUGACCGAGUUCUUUAUAAAAAAAAAAGGA